UACAGAGGUCUCAAGCGUUGUUCGGAUUCAUUGGGCGUAAAGGGUGCGUAGGUGGCGGGGCAAGUCUGGUGUGAAAUCUCGGAGCUCAACUCCGAAACUGCACUGGAUACUGCCUUGCUCGAGUACUGGAGAGGAGAUUGGAAUUUACGGUGUAGCAGUGAAAUGCGUAGAUAUCGUAAGGAAGACCAGUGGCGAAGGCGAAUCUCUGGACAGUUACUGACACUGAGCACGAAGGCCAGGGAGCAACGGG
rnacentral:rRNA from 1 species